rnacentral:lncRNA from 1 species
UAAGUUUUGACCUCAAAUGUCUUGCACUCAUCUGUUAACUAAACAGCAGCCACCUUUGCCCUAAAAGAGGGACAUUCUAAUCUUCCUUGGUGCAUUUCAAAUCAGGGUGCUAAAAGUGGAGGCGAGAUGGAGUCUGCUCAAGCAAAAAAUCAAGCACUAAAGGAUGCUGGAGCUGUUGUUCCCACUUCAUAUGAAGCUUUUGAGACUGCAAUUAAGGAAACAUUUCAGAAGCUGGUUAGUUAUAUUCUGCAAAGCUUGUGUUUGCUUGUAACUUCUCAAAAUCAAAACGUAGAGCUUGGUUUGAGUUAGAAAAGCCUCCAUGACUGGUUUUAUUGAUCUUUUUUAUUUUAACAUAGGUUGAAGAGGGUAAGAUUACACCUGUGAAGGAGGUUAAGCCUCCACAAAUCCCUGAGGAUCUUAAUACUGCAAUUAAGAGCGGCAAAGUUCGUGCUCCAACUCAUAUUAUAUCCACUAUCUCUGAUGACAGAGGUACUUUUAUUUGUGUCUUGAACUACUUUUAAGAAUUUCAUCAUCUUAAAUGAGAGAUACAAGGAACUAAUCUUUUAUUACAUUUUUCAGGUGAGGAGCCAUGCUAUGCUGGUGUGCCCAUGUCUUCCAUUGUUGAACAGGGUUAUGGUGUUGGUGAUGUCAUCUCACUUUUAUGGUUCAAACGUAGCCUUCCACGUUACUGUACCCAUUUUAUUGAGGCAAGUUUCUUAUAACUUUGUAGCCAUCUUGGCAUUUUCUUAGCAUUGCAACUGAAUAUAGCUAUGUUUGUUUUUAUUCUCCCUUUUCUAUUUAUUUUUAUUGGAAGCAGCCAUGCUAUGUAGUUAUUUCUUAACUGAUUUAUGAUCUUCAACAGAUAUGCAUCAUGCUGUGUGCUGACCAUGGUCCCUGCGUCUCUGGCGCUCACAACACUAUAGUAACAGCAAGGGCUGGAAAGGACCUAGUUUCUAGUCUUGUCUCAGGUAAAAAGAGUAGUCAUUUGAUGGUUUACUUAUUUCAUUGGUGAAUUUGCUCAGAAUGACUCCUAAAUAAAGUGACUUUCUGAGAACCAAUAGUAAAACAAACUAUUAAUCAUGGUCAAUUGGAUCAGGUUUGCUCACGAUUGGCCCCCGAUUUGGUGGUGCCAUUGAUGAUGCGGCUCGAUACUUUAAGGAUGCUUAUGACAGAGUGAGCACUAAUAAACUUACUUGAAUUCAUUUCUGAUGAGGUAUUUCUGGGCUGAAUAAUCUUGUGGUCGAUCGAUUUCUUUGCUGUCUCUUGUCAGGGCCUAGCACCAUACGAGUUUGUU